AGAUCCCAUUAGCAGCUGUUCUUGGUCUGGUAGCUGUCUUGUAUGAAGGUAUUAGAAGACUUUUCAAGUACAUGAACAGCCCUAAAGAUGACAAUAGGGAUAUGGGAGCCCAGAAAACAUCCAAACAGCAUUCAACAAAAUCCAAAUGAAAUCUACCAUGUAAUUAAGCAAAUCUAAAGAGUGUCUUUCACGGGAACCCAAAGAAGUCCUCCACCUUCUGGGCUUUCCUAAACCAAGGUCUCCCUUUUCUAACAAAUAAAGAAAUAUCUUACCCAUUGCUUGCA